GGGCAGCCUCUCCUGCCGCGCCGCAUGCGCGCGCUCGCGUCGUGGAGACGUGCGGGCCUGUGGUUGGGCGUGGGCGUGAACCGUAGCCCCCCAGUGCCCAGCCGCCACACCCCUGACCCCUCCCUCCUCACUCCCUCGCCACACUGUCGCACCAUCUCCCUCCUCCCUCCUCCCUCGUCACCAGCCGCCGCAACAGGGGAUUUGCGGCCCCUCCAUCACCAGCCGCAGCACCAGGAGAUUUGCCGCCGCCGAGAUCCAGCGCCUUGCAAGGUCCUCGGGUCAGCCUUGUCGCGCCCGCCACUCUGUCGACCAGAUCUGUGCCCUUGACUCCCUCUUCUCUCGCGUCGCGCGGUGCCUGCUGCUCCACCAUGUCGAGCAGCGCGAGCAUCAAGCAAUGGCUGAUGCCAAGGCAUGUCAAGAUCAAGGAUAUUUAAACUUGUUUCUUUGAUUGAUGAAAGAUUUCAGAUCCUUCUGUAGAUGAAUUUCUGGUCUAAGAUACAUGGUGUUAAUUGUCCCAAAGAUGGAACGAUUUGUUCCACGGAAUUUAUCUCCUUAGUUGCAUUCCAUUUACAGUUCAUGUUCAUGGCCUUGCUGUGGUUGCACGGUGGUUCGUGGGGAACAGGAGCAAAUACCUUUGCUACAACCAAGGUCUUGACAAACCAGUCAGGGAGAGAUAGGUUCGGUGAGUCAUUUUACCCUUUGUUUACCCCUUUCAGAUUAGCAGAGAAGAAGGAUCUUUUUUUAUUCCCUUUUGAUUUCCUCUCUUGUUUGACUGGAACCUUUUUUCAUAGUUUUGCAGGGGUUGUUAUGUUCUGUCCCCUGUGGUAAGUUUGCUAGGCAGCGGCUUACUCCUCUCUUGUUUUUUUAGUUUUGACCACGAUAUCGAAAUUACAUCUGGUCGAUGGUGUCAAGUUUAGGCAGGUACCAUCAGCAUUUUGUGAAGAUUGCCAUCGUCUAAAUUUUAUUGCAGCAUGAUGCAUAUGUAAUAAGGAAUUUGGUGUUUGAGAAGCAUCACCGGAAGUUGGUAUGCUAAUAUCUCAAUUGGCAAGAUAAAAGGACCACUACUUCUUACCUUCCAGUCAUUUUAAUAUGAUAGGAAUGCAAGUAUGUACUAAGUAGAAAAGAUGGUUGAAUUUGGUGCCCUGCAUUUACACGACUAGGUGUUAUUCAGUUUUUUUUCCUUUGACGGCUCUGAGUACAAAUUGGAGCUUGUUGGGUACAAAAUGUUGCCAAGAUUAGUUCAGGAUCAGAAUUGUUGUCAUGUUGUCCAGAUAUUGCUCUAAGAGUUUCCUAGAAUUAGUUUAGGAUCAGAGUUAUUGUCAUGUUGUCUAGAUAUUGCUCUGAAGAUUCCAAACGUACUUUUCUGGUUGCUUGGUUAUAAUUUUUGCCCCCCAAAGGGAAGCUCUGGCCAGUUUCUUGCUAGAAUAUUAUCAUAAGGCUUGAUUAAUUUAGAACAUACCUUUGUCUUUUCACUCUUAUUUUAUUUUAAUAGUUAUUUUACAUGCUGUAAACUAUUUCUUUUAUUUUUCCAGGAAGAAAUAGAAGUUGAGGGGAAGCUAUUGCAUGCUGGAAAAUCAGUUGGUGUUGUCAAUGUUGGUUUCAAGAAAAGGACUGGCAAAUUGAUGCUCAGGCACGUCAUACAAAGUACUUGUAUCUAGCAGAUUGCGAGGAUUCCCUUCUGUUGUAAAAUAAAAACCUGGUUAUAUGUUGCAUCUCAAAAUCAAGAUGUUGAUUCAAGAAGAGAAAGGAGCUGUCGGCGUGCCAUGGUUCAUGCUUUAUACAUCAUGUAUAUAUGCCAGCCAGGGAGGUGGAUGGGCUUGUCUCCGCUGCGUCGUGAGCACCGUCGCCGCCUCUGCGGCCACCUUGCUCCGCAUAGUAGCAUGUGUGAGGAAUCGGGGACAAGCGACCACGAGAAGAUGGCGUCGGCGGCAACGGCAAUGCGCAUGUUGCGCGAAGCCUGGUAAGAUGGGCGCGGCCUCUCCGCAGGCAUUUCAGGAUGGCGUGCCCGACGGCUUGGAACGCGCGCGCCCGGCGCACAGGAGGUGUCUUGGAGCACGCCGGCGGCAACAUGCACCAUGAGGUCCCGGAGCAGCCCAACCAGUACAGGAGGAACCCUGCCAUUCCAUCCUCACCUCUGGUCACAGAUUUUGCCUAUUCUCUGAGAUGGAUGAUGAUGAGCGGUGCAACCGAAAAUUCAGAGCUGGGCUUUACACACUUCAGUGGGAGUAGCAUGACAACACCAAGGUAGAGACCUGAAGAGAAGCAAGGGGAUGGACCAAGGAAACUAGAACUGUGUUGUCGUGAUCUGGGUCGUGUCGUCUUCGUCCAUCUCCAUGGAGGCAUAUAUACAUAGGUUAGGUAUAGGAAAGGAGGCCGUCUCCAUGGAACUCUGACUGAUGUGUAAUGUCCUCAUAGGACUGGACCGUUUACAGAGGGAGUACUUGAAAAUAGAUUCUUUAUAUAUUGUUUGGUUCCAUCACCCGCAUAACCUAAAUUAGAAAUUUGGUAUCUAAAGAGUGUAGUGUAACCAUUGUGCUUGCUGCAGUUUUACUUUAGUGUUGAAAUAUUUUUGUUGGCUUGUUCUGUACUACGAAAUAUUUUUGUUUUCCCAGCCAUUGUUUUCUAAAUCCUAUCAGCAUAUUACCUGA